rnacentral:rRNA from 1 species
UACAGAGGGUGCGAGCGUUAAUCGGAAUUACUGGGCGUAAAGCGCACGUAGGUGGCGACGUAAGUCGGGUGUGAAAGCCCCGGGCUCAACCUGGGAAUUGCCUUUAAGACUGCAUCGCUAGAAUUGUGGAGAGGUAAGUGGAAUUCCGAGUGUAGAGGUGAAAUUCGUAGAUAUUCGGAAGAACACCAGUGGCGAAGGCGACUUACUGGACACAUAUUGACGCUGAGGUGCGAAAGCGUGGGGAGCAAACAGG